rnacentral:misc_RNA from 1 species
CCGUUCCGGCUUCACACUAGUCAUAAGGUUCCACUCCUGCAGUUAGUCAUGCGCAUUUCGACCGUCUCCUUUGCACGACGUACAUAUGAUGAGGUGUGAUGUGCCAGAAAUAAAAACAUCAAAAUUCCCUUUUCACCCAAACCCGCAACACAACUACAUUGCUGUAAUCGUUUGUUUCCACCACAGCAGCGCUUGACUGUGUAAAUUCAAAGCUUAUCCUUGAUACGCGUUGUACUCUUCUCCAACCAAAUCGUCGUAGUAGCUAUCAUCUAUAGUUUCCCUUUUUUUCAGGCGCCCAUCCGACCAUGCAACAUGAGCUCAACUCCAGUCUGCUUGCGCUGGCACGGCCCUGUUGCGUGGUGCGAUGCAGUCGUAGGCACGCGGCACAGCAAUGCACCGACUCCGUCAUCUGAGCACGGCCUCCACCCGCAACUCUGCACCCCACUCGCUUCGCUGGCGGCUCCGACGCAACGCCAUCCAGGAGCUGACCGCCGGCAUCAGCAGCGUUGAAUUGCUCUGGCUCGCCCAUGUCUUAGGUGCCUGACCCUGUCACCGCCUCCAGUGGCCGUGCAUUGGCAGGAACAGGGGCUGCCUGGCUUCCUCACACGGAGUGGGGGUGCCGGGCCUAGAUACCCCGCUGAGGCAUUUUCCCGUCAUCGAAUGUGGCGCAGUCUGAGAAAGGAAAAUAACGGUUCGAAUGUUCCGUGGUCGUGCGGUGAGCCUGCUACUCUGGAGAGCACCGGCAUCGCCCGUUUUUAGAGUCGUAUGCUGUGUUGUGAACCACGAGUGUUUAUGCUGCUACUGCUAUUUUUUCCGGGGUCAGCCUCGCAGUAACGGUUGCACACCGGGACAAAAGCGUUUAUGGUCUUAGAUUAGGGUCUUCUACACACACUUUUACAGCCGCAAGGGGCUAAUAAACUUCAGAGGGUAGCACAGUGCACUCGGACAGUGGGUUGCAGACAGACCGCAAAGCGCAAUCAUUCGCAGGAUUUACCUUUCACAAAAAAACGCGGUGGUUCUUAAGCACUAGAGGAACGGUUUUUUUUUUCACACCACUGGUACCGCGAUGGGUACCGCGAUGCAACGUCGUUUUGCUGGCAAAUCGACCUCCACAAGUUGCCAGCUCCAAUCGCUGCGUAGACGAGGCGUUGUGGCCAAAAUUUGUGUGCGGAUAGAGCUGUCGACAUUUCAGAUAUACAGCGACAGACAGUGCGACGUAAUUUUGAAUGGAGUACCGAAGAACAGAAAGCUUCUAUUUUUCUUUGUGAAGAAAACAGUUCCUUGACGAUGGGAAAAUGCCUCAGCGCGGGGCACCUAGGUCCGGCACCCCCACUCUGUGUGGGGAAGCCAGGCAGCCCCUGCUCCUGCCAAUGCACGGCCACUGGAGGCGGUGACAGGGUCAGGCACCUAAGACAUGGGCGAGCCAGAGCAAUUCAACGCUGCUGAUGCCGGCGGUCAGCUCCUGGAUGGCGUUGCGUCGGAGCCGCCAGCGAAGCGAGUGGGGUGCAGAGUUGCGGGUGGAGGCCGUGCUCAGAUGACGGAGUCGGUGCAUUGCUGUGCCGCGUGCCUACGACUGCAUCGCACCACGCAACAGGGCCGUGCCAGCGCAAGCAGACUGGAGUUGAGCUCAUGUUGCACGGCCGGAUAUGAACGGUGAAAAAAAAAAUAUUGUUGCAGAAACCCCCUCACUUCGGUGCGCUGAUAGCGAAUGAGGUAGACCACCCUGACCACCUUACCACUCUUUCCCCCCGGCCCGGGAGCCCCUUCGCUGGCGACCGCCAG